CUCUCAACUCUCCUCCACACCUCCUAGAACCUAUGGAAAACAAACCAGGGUGCCCUGGGGCCGGGUGCUACAGAGGCGUACCAGAACUACUCUCAUGGAAUGGGGUGUUCAUAAGACUACGUGGACCUCACCUUCAGUGCCAAGACUCCUACAGAGGGUUUGGUUUAUAGAAACACCCAGAGGCACUUGGAACUAGAAACGAGGAGGCACAGGAGUUUAGACAUACGGGAAUCGUAUCCAGCAUGCAGUAGCAAUCGGCCACAACAAGAACAGCAUGAAUGAACUCAAAGGACACACCCAGAAGGACCAGCAAGCUGCCUUGACCAAAGCCCAGAAGGAUCAGUGAGUGUUCCCCAUGGCACCAUGCAAGCAAGGGAGCUGCUGGACCCAAGACCUCGUGUUUGGAAGCAUUCCUAACACUAACAGCCAGAAGAUCAAAAUAUUGGACAACUGUGAAAAAUAUUGAAGAUGCCAGCCUGUGGUAUCAAAUGCUCAGCCAACAUUUAAUUCUUGACGUAAAAAAUAAACAUAUCCAUGUCAUUAGCGUA